AGGAACAAUUGGAGGGCAAGUCUGGUGCCAGCAGCCGCGGUAAUUCCAGCUCCAAUAGCGUAUAUUAAAGUUGUUGCGGUUAAAAAGCUCGUAGUUGAACUUUGGACUUAUAUUACUAGUCAGAUGGAAAUCUAGUACUAGAAAGAAUAUAAGUCUUUCCUUCUGGGUAAAUUAUUAAAAUUUUAAUAAUUGAACCAGGACGAUUACUUCGAAAAAAUUAGAGUGUUCAAAGCAGGCGAGAAGCAUGAAUAUAUUAGCAUGGAAUAAUAGAAUAGGACGUUUGGACCUAUUUUGUUGGUUUCUAGGACCAUCGUAAUGAUUAAUAGGGACGGCCGGGGGCAUCAGUAUUCAAUUGUCAGAGGUGAAAUUCUUAGAUUUAUUGAAGACUAACUACUGCGAAAGCAUUUGCCAAGGACGUUUUCAUUAAUCAAGAACGAAAGUUAGGGGAUCGAAGAUGAUCAGAUACCGUCGUAGUCUUAACCAUAAACUAUGCCAACUAGGGAUCGGGUGGAGUUUAAAUAGAGACGCACUCGGGACCUUAAGAGAAAUCAAAGUAUUUGGGUUCUGGGGGGAGUAUGGUCGCAAGGCUGAAACUUAAAGGAAUUGACGGAAGGGCACCACCAGGAGUGGAGCCUGCGGCUUAAUUUGACUCAACACGGGGAAACUCACCAGGUCCGGACACAAUAAGGAUUGACAGAUUGAGAGCUCUUUCUUGAUUUUGUGGG
rnacentral:rRNA from 1 species